AUAAUAGUGGUAAUACAUGCCAGAAACAAGGAAGAUAUAGCAAGCCACACCAGCCCUUGGUUUAAUGGCUUCUGAUUAUGAUUACGUGACCAUUGCCGCCUCUACCAACGACUACAUAAUGAGUUUGAGUUCCCGGGAGGGCGCUGGAUAUUCCCAGGGGCACCGCCAUUCGUGGCCUUCCGUUGCGAGGUUUAGGGACAAAGGUAGACAGCGAGAAUGAGAUGGUCUGGGCGUGUCAAGAGGAGAGACGAGGAGUGUGCAGGGAGGAGGAUGCUGGAGAUGGAUGAAGGCAGCAGGAGAAAGAGAGGAAGACCCAAGAGAAGGUUUAUGAUACAGUGCAAGACGUGCCUGUAAUGGGUAUGACUGAGGAAGGCGCAGAGGAAUCAGUGCAUUGAAGAAUGCUGAACAGCUGUGGCGACGGGAGUAGCCCAAAGAAUAACAACAACAGUAACAACAAUAACAACAACAAGUGUAGAAUUCAUUAACGGAAGAUUUUUCAGGGAAGAUGAUUUGCAGUAAGUGGUUGUGCUUUUCGUUCAGCUUGACC